rnacentral:rRNA from 1 species
GACGAACGCUGGCGGCGUGCUUAACACAUGCAAGUCGAACGGAAAGGCCCCUUCGGGGGUACUCGAGUGGCGAACGGGUGAGUAACACGUGGGCAAUCUGCCCUGCACUUCGGGAUAAGCCUGGGAAACUGGGUCUAAUACCGGAUAGGACCACUUGGCGCAUGCCUUGUGGUGGAAAGCUUUUGCGGUGUGGGAUGGGCCCGCGGCCUAUCAGCUUGUUGGUGGGGUGAUGGCCUACCAAGGCGACGACGGGUAGCCGGCCUGAGAGGGUGUCCGGCCACACUGGGACUGAGAUACGGCCCAGACUCCUACGGGAGGCAGCAGUGGGGAAUAUUGCACAAUGGGCGCAAGCCUGAUGCAGCGACGCCGCGUGGGGGAUGACGGCCUUCGGGUUGUAAACCUCUUUCAGCAGGGACGAAGCGAAAGUGACGGUACCUGCAGAAGAAGCACCGGCCAACUACGUGCCAGCAGCCGCGGUAAUACGUAGGGUGCGAGCGUUGUCCGGAAUUACUGGGCGUAAAGAGCUCGUAGGUGGUUUGUCGCGUUGUUCGUGAAAACCGGGGGCUUAACCCUCGGCGUGCGGGCGAUACGGGCAGACUAGAGUACUGCAGGGGAGACUGGAAUUCCUGGUGUAGCGGUGGAAUGCGCAGAUAUCAGGAGGAACACCGGUGGCGAAGGCGGGUCUCUGGGCAGUAACUGACGCUGAGGAGCGAAAGCGUGGGGAGCGAACAGGAUUAGAUACCCUGGUAGUCCACGCCGUAAACGGUGGGUACUAGGUGUGGGUUUCCUUCCUUGGGAUCCGUGCCGUAGCUAACGCAUUAAGUACCCCGCCUGGGGAGUACGGCCGCAAGGCUAAAACUCAAAGGAAUUGACGGGGGCCCGCACAAGCGGCGGAGCAUGUGGAUUAAUUCGAUGCAACGCGAAGAACCUUACCUGGGUUUGACAUGCACAGGACGCGUCUAGAGAUAGGCGUUCCCUUGUGGCCUGUGUGCAGGUGGUGCAUGGCUGUCGUCAGCUCGUGUCGUGAGAUGUUGGGUUAAGUCCCGCAACGAGCGCAACCCUUGUCUCAUGUUGCCAGCGGGUAAUGCCGGGGACUCGUGAGAGACUGCCGGGGUCAACUCGGAGGAGGGUGGGGAUGACGUCCAGUCAUCAUGCCCCUUAUGUCCAGGGCUUCACACAUGCUACAAUGGCCGGUACAAAGGGCUGCGAUGCCGCAAGGUUAAGCGAAUCCUUUUAAAGCCGGUCUCAGUUCGGAUCGGGGUCUGCAACUCGACCCCGUGAAGUCGGAGUCGCUAGUAAUCGCAGAUCAGCAACGCUGCGGUGAAUACGUUCCCGGGCCUUGUACACACCGCCCGUCACGUCAUGAAAGUCGGUAACACCCGAAGCCAGUGGCCUAACCCUUGGGAGGGAGCUGUCGAAGGUGGGAUCGGCGAUUGGGACG